rnacentral:lncRNA from 1 species
AAUUUAGUAAUUAGCAAUUAUGCCAUCUAUAUUAAUAGAACUCAAAGAAAGCGAUUUACCUUGUCAGUUACAUGUUAUUUUUUAUUUCCAAUAACUAUUUAUUGUAUUUUCGGGUUUUUUUAAAUUGAAAAAAAGUUUCUAAAUUCACAAUUUGCAUUUGUCCACUUUUGGCACGCAACCUGCGUGGGAUCGGGAUUUUUUGUGAAUUUUAUGCUUGCUUUUAUUUUAAAACGGUCGUACUUGUAUCCUUAAAACGGAACGGUUAUUUCUAGCUGCAGUUGUAGAAAACAUCACAACACAUUUGUGAGGAAAAAAUUCUGAGGUUUGUUGUGAGGUUAUUCUUACUCAAAACCCACAAGAAAAAAGACCAAAAAACUCAGCACAUGAGGUGAAAAGCACUUUGCUUUGAACCAGCUGUUUUACGUAAAAUGACAACUAAAAAAAGAUUUCAAAUUAUGAAAGGACAUUUCAGGAGAAGCUCCAGCGUUACAGAAUAUUAUUUUCGCACAUGUAUUAAAUAUAUACAUACAUAAAUAUUUAAAAAAUUAAAUUUUGUAUGAAUUAUUUAAAAAUAAA